GACGAACGCUGGCGGCGUGCUUAACACAUGCAAGUCGAACGGAAAGGCCCUGCUUUUUUGGUGUUCUCGAGUGGCGAACGGGUGAGUAACACGUUAGUAACCUGCCCUUGACUUUGGGAUAACUUCAGGAAACUGGGGCUAAUACCGUAUAGCAUCUCCUGCUGCAUGUUGUGGGUUGGAAAUUUUCGGCUGUUGGGGAUGGACUCGCGGAUUAUCAUCUUGUUGGGGUUGUAGUGGCUUACCAAGGCUUUGACGGGUAGCCGGCAUGAGAGUGUGAACGGGAAAAAUGGGACUGAGAGAAGGAACAGAGUAGAAAGGGAGGCAGGAGUGGGGAAUAUGGAAAAAGGGGAGGAAGCCUGAUGAAGAAACGACGCGUGCGGGAUGACGGCCUUCGGGUUGUAAAAAGCUUUAGCCUGUGACGAAGCGUGAGUGACGGUAAUGGGUAAAGAAGCACCGGCUAACUACGUG
rnacentral:rRNA from 1 species